CUCGUAGGCGGUUUGUCGCGUCCGGUGUGAAAGUCCAUCGCUUAACGGUGGAUCCGCGCCGGGUACGGGCGGGCUGGAGUGCGGUAGGGGAGACUGGAAUUCCCGGUGUAACGGUGGAAUGUGUAGAUAUCGAGAAGAACACCAAUGGCGAAGGCAGGUCUCUGGGCCGUUACUGACGCUGAGGAGCGAAAGCGUGGGGAGCGAACA
rnacentral:rRNA from 1 species